rnacentral:rRNA from 1 species
CUUGGACAAACAUAAGAGGUCCAGCCUGCCCAGUGACUCUGUUCAACGGCCGCGGUAUCCUAACCGUGCGAAGGUAGCGUAAUCACUUGUUCUUUAAAUGAGGACUAGUAUGAAUGGCACCACGAAGGUUACACUGUCUCCUUUAUCUAAUCAGUGAAACUAAUCUUCCCGUGAAGAAGCGGGAAUAAAAAUAUAAGACGAGAAGACCCUAUGGAGCUUUAAACACACUGAUAAUUGCCUUCCUCACUCUACUUCCAGAAAAACAACUAAAAUUCAGGCACUGUAAUCACAAGUUUUAGGUUGGGGUGACCACGGAGCACAACAAAACCUCCGUAAUGAACGGGAGUUUUCCCCUAAACCAAGGGCUACAGCCCAAGAAAUCAAUAAAUUGACAUAUAUUGACCCAAUACAUUUGACCAAUGAAC